UACGUAGGGGGCAAGCGUUGUCCGGAUUUAUUGGGCGUAAAGAGCGUGUAGACGGCCAUGCAGGUCAGCUGUGAAAACUCGAGGCUCAACCUCGAGACGUCGGUUGAAACCGUAUGGCUAGAGUCCGGAAGAGGAGAGUGGAAUUCCCGGUGUAGCGGUGAAAUGCGCAGAUAUCGGGAAGAACACCCGUGGCGAAGGCGGCUCUCUGGGACGGUACUGACGCUGAGACGCGAAAGCGUGGGGAGCGAACAGG
rnacentral:rRNA from 1 species